rnacentral:lncRNA from 1 species
GCGUGCCCGAUGCUGGGUCACCUGCGGGAGGAGGUAUGUCACCUUCCUCUCGGUGACAUACUCGGUUGUGGUGUGACAAAACACCUGGGAUUUGUGCAACCACCUCCUCAGAGGCUGGUUCUGGUACAACUUCACAGCAGUCUUCGUUUUGAAACACACCCAAGUAUCGUGUGAGCUCGUAAGAGGCUUGGUACUCCAGCUAACCCAGGAAGUGAGCUCUCUCCUUCCCCUAGAACACGCUUUUUUGCAGCUGAGGUGUGAGCAAUUACUGGUCAAAAAGCAAGUACCAUUUUUGAAAUUUGUGUGAGUUUCUAGAUGAAAGGGGUCAAGGAAGGUUCUCCAAGAGAGGGGGAGUGAGGCCUGGUUUCCCCUAAUGCUGUUUCCGCCCCCUUCUGCAGUACCUUCCAGAGAUGUGCUGGGGAUUUGGUUUUCAUUUUGUGGGGUAUUGGUAAGAUCUGGGCUUUAGAAAACACAAGAAAAUAUGGAGAUCUAUAAUUUUGACAUUCCAUGGGAGAUGAAAUUAGUGCCAUUGCACACAGACCAGAAAUACAUAGGAAUGGAUUGGGUUGCAACUUGACCUCCACGGAUGCAGGAUGAAAGCAGCAACUGACCAUGCCACUCACCAAAGGGAGUCUGCUGUGAUUUCUGAUUUGCAGAACAAAGUCAGAGAGCUGAUGCUGAGGAUGACAGCUUCCAAGGUGUCUCCAAGUGAGAACCCCCAUAGCUGCUCCUGGGCUCAGUGGGAGAGAAGCCUGGUCUGA